rnacentral:lncRNA from 1 species
UAGAUACCGGGAAUUGAACUCAGGAGCACUCAACCACUGAGCCAUAUCCCUAGCCCUCUUUUGUAUUUCAUUUAGAGACAGGGUCUCACCGAGUUGCUUAAGCACCUCACUUUUGCUGCGGCUGGCUUUGAACUCACGAUCCUCCUGCCUCAACCUCCCAAGCUGCUGGGAUUACAGGCGUGUGCCACUGAGCCCGGCUUGCUGUCAUAUUUUUAAAUUUAGAAUUAUUUCAUCUUCAAUAACAAAUGUUUAUUUAGGGAGCAAGUAUGUGCAAGGUGCUUGCUAUUCUAGGUCCUGGGAAUAUUGAGAGAAACAAGCCAUCCAGUCCUUGUGAAAUAUAAAUUUGUAAUUUUGCACUAAUGUCUGAGUUUAGAAAAUAUUUUUUUUCUCUCCA